UACGUAGGGGGCCAGCGUUGCUCGGAAUUACUGGGCGUAAAGGGUUCGUAGGUGGUGCGGUAAGUUGGGAGUGAAAUCUCUGGGCUUAACUCAGGGGCUGCUUUCAAAACUGCCGUGCUCGAGUGCGAGAGAGGUCAGUGGAAUUGCAGGUGUAGCGGUGAAAUGCGUAGAUAUCAGGAGGAACACCGAUGGCGAAGGCAGGUCUCUGGGCAUUAACUGACGCUGAGGAGCGAAAGCAUGGGGGAGCGAACAGG
rnacentral:rRNA from 1 species